GACGGACGCUGGCGGCGUGCUUAACACAUGCAAGUCGAACGGAAAGGCCCUGCUUUUGUGGGGUGCUCGAGUGGCGAACGGGGGAGUAACACGUGAGUAACCUGCCCUUGACUUUGGGAUAUCUUCAGGAAACUGGGGCUAAUACCGGAUAGGAGCUCCUGCUGCAUGGUGGGGGUUGGAAAGUUUCGGCGGUUGGGGAUGGACUCGCGGCUUAUCAGCUUGUUGGUGUGGUAGUGGCUUACCAAGGCUUUGACGGGUAGCCGGCCUGGGAGGGUGACCGGCCACAUUGGGACUAAGAGACGGCCCAGUCUCCUACGGGAGGCAGCAGUGGGGAAUAUUGCACAGUGGGCGGAAGCCUGAGGCAGCAACGCCGCGUGCGGGAUGACGGCCUUCGGGUUGUAAACCGCUGUCGCCUGUGACGAAGAGUGAGUGACGGUAAUGGGUAAAGAAGCACCGGCUAACUACGUG
rnacentral:rRNA from 1 species